rnacentral:rRNA from 1 species
UACGUAGGGAGCGAGCGUUGUCCGAAGUUACUGGGCGUAAAGCGCGCGUAGGCGGUUUCUUAAGUUAGAUGUGAAAUCCUGCAGCCCAACUGCAGAACUGCAUCUAAAACUGGGUGACUUGAGGACGGAAGAGGGCAGUGGAAUUCCUGGUGUAGCGGUGAAAUGCGUAGAUAUCAGGAGGAACACCCGUGGCGAAGGCGGCUGCCUGGUCCGUAUCUGACGCUGAGGUGCGAAAGCUAGGGGAG